rnacentral:lncRNA from 1 species
CUCACGCGAGGCUCACUGCGUGCCCCUGCUCAUAGCGGAAGGAAGAUGGGAAGAAGAAGAAAGAGGUUUGUUGCCUCCACACCUGUGGGGCGGCAUGCGAAGGGGCCUUGAAGCAGUUUCCCUAUGGACAGAGAGAAAGAAAGGGAAUCAGGAGUGUGGGGAGAAGAAGACGGCGUGGUGAGAGGCGAGGAUGAGGCCGGCUCAGAAGAUAAGAUUGGAGAGAUAAAGAGUGGUGUGUGUUGUCCUGCACCGAACAACACAAGCGGGAUGGACACGAAAGCACUCACCUGGAUAUGAUUAGAUUAGCUAGAAAGAUUAAAGAAAGAAGCAGAAUGAACUAGGGAGGAACACACUCAAGGUACUCCUGUG